AGGAGCGGUAUGAGGUGAAAGUCUCACGUACCGUUCUGAAGCCGAGUCAGGAGGGUGACCUUCUGGCUUAGGUAAC
rnacentral:ncRNA from 1 species